ensembl:lncRNA
CAUGGUUGGAGUUGCAGGGCAGGGUGAGGUCUCACGGUUGGAGGUGCAGGGUGAGGUGAGGUCUCAUGGUUGGAGGUGAGGGCGAGGUGAGGUCUCAUGGUUGGAGGUGAGGGGGUGAGGUCUCAUGGUUGGAUGUGCAGGGUGAGGUCUCAUGGUUGGCAGGGUGUCUCACGGUUGGAGGUGCAGGGUGAGGUCUCAUGGUUGGAGGUGAGGGGGUGAGGUCUCAUGGUUGGCAGGGUGUCUCACGGUUGGAGGUGCAGGGUGAGGUCUCAUGGUUGGAGGUGAGGGGGUGAGGUCUCGUGGUUGGAGGUGCAGGGCAGGGUGAGGUCUCGUGGUUGGAGGUUCAGGGUGAGGUCUCAUGGUUGGAGGUACAGGGUGAGGUCUCACGGUUGGAGGUGC